UCGGUUCACCCCACGAUCUCCGCGAUCUGCGGCGCAGGCGCAGCCCGCCGAUCCCAGUCCCGCUUCCCACGAUUCGCAACUGAGGCGGCUGCGCCCAUUCCGCUCCCCACGAUCCGCACGACUGCGCCGAUCCCAGGUUCCGCUCCCCACGAUCCGCACGACUACGGCACAUUCGUCAAAUGCGGUGAGCUUCUCCUCACUCCGCAGUUGCUCGCCACCCCCGCAUUCCUCCCUGGCAACGAGACGUCUACCACACGCGGAGCGUUGCCGACCUCCGUCCCAUUGACGACAUCCCCUCCGCGAGGCGAAUCCCUCCUCUAAUUUUUGCUUGUUGAUGAUCGAAUCCAUGAUGUAAACUUUGCAUCACACUAUGGGAUUGAAGUGUGAUCAAGAAUGCUGUAAUGAUGCGAAUUAUGUGCUUUGCCAGGCACUAUGCAUAUUGAUUUAUGUUUGCCUCCUCCUUAAUUAAGCCAACGGCAACAGCAAGGUGCAAGAGCACACACUACUAAUUUAUGUUUGCCUCCUCAUGGGCCAUGUAGAGUGCCGCACAUCAGGUGCUCCCUCAGGCAUUAUCAUCCUUUCACUGGUGGACAGUGAGGGAUUCUAGGUUUGUAAUGCCAAAUUAUCUUGUUGCUGGACAUUAUCUUCUAUGCCUACAAGGUGCUCAACCAAAUGCCUGUGCCGGCUCAUGGCCCCGUGAAUACUCACUUCUUUCCAAACAUAUCCUAUUUUAAUAAUUUAAGGGGUGUUCUUUACUGAACCAUAGAGUUAGCCGUGUUAUUAUUAUUCAAUAAAUCUAAAGAUACACAGAACAAAAUGAGUACGAGUUUUUAAUCUGUCGAUAAGUUCAAUGUUAUUUUGUUUGCUUGGACAAAAUUAAUGUUGUCUUCAGAUCUAUUUGUGAAUGUUUCAUUAUGGCCAUGGUUAUAGUUUUUGGGAGUGAUUUCUUGGUCAGUUCAAUUCUCGUUGCCUAUUGUUUCCUUCAUAUUUUGACAUCUAUCAUUUAUCUGUGCAUAUUUUUUAUACCAUGCCAGGAUGCCAACAUAUAUAUUCGGAAAUGAAGCAAAACAAAGGUAUGAAAGCUUAUUUGUUCUUUCAGCUUUAACUUCUACAGCAAACCAUACCUUUGCUUGGGUAGGCAUCUGCUUUAACUUGGUGCUUAUGAAAGGAAGUAAUGUUCUAUUUGACACCUUUCUUUGGCCUAGAGUGAUGCAAUAAGAACCAAACAUUGACUAGAGGUUAUGUUACUGCAUCUGAGGGUGAAAUUCAGGCAACAGUGCUGCCUGCUAUUUAUUUCGAUGUUUAGUAUCAAAGCAAUGUUUUCAAUACCUCAGCAUUUAAGUUCUCUGUUCGUUUCUUUGCUUAUUACAACAACAAGAUAUAUAAGGUUUGAAGGUCCCAUAUGAUGAUAUGACAUGCCAAUCUGUUCAUUCUGCAUUGUAUCAUGUAUGCAUCACAAGUUAUAUGAACGUUCCUUUUGUAACUUGUUAUUCCUUCUUGCAACAUAUUAAAAUGAAUAAAACAUUUGAUUCCCAUAUAUUAAUUCCUUAGCAAAUAAAGAAAAAAAAUUGAAUGCUCAAAAACAUUGCAGAGUUCAGCUGACAAUGUCUAAAUUUUGAGACAAACAUUCAGAUUUUACUCGAAGCCUAGGAGCACACCAGUUGAGCCUUUACAUGAAUCUGUUGGAUUGAGACUUCAGAAAUGGGGUGGACUUUGCCAUUGCUAGGUAGGUGAUGCUGGAAGACAACACAUUUGUUUUGCUGGUUGUGCAGCUAAUACAUGUCUGAAUCCAUUGAGGCAUUGAGAUGUUUUCUAUAUUGACAAAAUGCGUUGAUAUCUUCUGAAUAUCACAUAAGAGACAAUGUCCCAAUUGAUUAGCAGGAGUUAUGAUCCUGAAAUACAGAGUUAACAUUGAGCAUGAUGGUGUUCUUUGACUGCACUUGGCCCAUGAGAACCAAAGCUUUUUCUGUAGCUGAUGAAAUCAAGAAGAGCCACUUGCAGCUUUUCUCUUGAUAGAUAUUGUCAACUCUAUCGUGGUGAAAACUACAUCUUAUUAAACCAGAGGCAACUGGGUAAUGUUGUCCAUCCAUUUAAACAAUUAGAAACUUAUGGAAAAGUUCUUCAACUGAGGUAUGGUAGUAUCGAAUUUUUCUGACUCGAAUUUUCUUAUUUUUCUUUAGAAAAUACUCCCAACAAAUAUAGUCUGAGUUCACUGGAUAUAUUGUUUGAUGCUGACUUUUCUGUGAGCUAUAGUUGUUUUUUUAUCACAUAUACUCAAAAGAAGUCAUUAUGAAUUUAGUGUAUGGCAAUGGUCAUUACUGCUUUUAUGAUAAAAAUUUGCCAAUUUAUUGUUUCGCAUAUAUUUCCUGUCUCCCUCUCCAAUUGAUUGUACACAGUAUGAUAAUCGGCCAAUAAAUUAGUGUAUGGGGCUUGAUGUCUGCCAAUACAUUGAAGAUGAGGUCUAUGGGUAUCGGCUGAUGCUAGGGGCAGGUCAAGUUCUUCCACAUCGACACUGAAGCAACGAUUUCUAUACUAGGGCACGAUAGAAAUGAAAGAGAAGCAGAGGACAAGGGAACAGAGAGGGAGAGAGACACUGUCUAUGACAUCUUAAGAACCACCAAGUCUGCAAUUAUUACACCAUCCGAGUGAAUUUUAUACCUAGAAGUGAUUGACAUUUCCUGUCAUUGACCUCCUAAUAUUGCUAUCUUUCUGCAGUAUUUGUAUCAAACAAAGACAAGGUGUUAAUAUGUCUUACUCUAAAUGUAUUCAAACAAAGACAAGAAGAUCAGCUAGGACCAAGUUGCCAUCACCGAAGAGCACACCUCCUUGCUUGAUCCAUCAGAUGUUGUAUAUAAUAGCCUUCAUUAGCUCAGCUCAGCUCUUUUGAUAAUAUGUGAAGAUUGAUUCAAAUAUUCAUUGUACAUUUGCAAUCUGUCAUUUGUGAUGUGAGUGGUGAAAUUAAUACUUUUCAAAUUUUAUCACUAUAUUUGAAUUCAAUUUUGCAUAAGUUUUACGAAGUUGAA